CUCAUAGAGAACGUUUUUUUGGGGGGUGAGGAAAAACCUCUGCAUUGGCCAAGCAAAAGAACCAGGCUCUGUGACUGAAGUGUCAGCUAAGGAGUGGUUUCUCACCUCUUCACACCAUCUGGGAAUAAGAAGUUGCAGCUAUUUCACACCAUCUAGAAGACAUGGGCUGUGGUAGUUCAUCAAUUAAAAUCAAGAAAUCUGCAAAAACAAUAAGAGCUGCAUUGAUCAUCCAAAUUGGUACCGAGGUUACAGAGCUCGGUUGAAGACCAGACA